rnacentral:tRNA from 1 species
GCCUCAAUAGCUCAGUUGGUUAGAGCACAUGACUGUUAAUCAUGGGGUCCGAGGUUCGAGUCCUCGUUGAGGCGCCA